rnacentral:rRNA from 1 species
GACGAAUGCUGGCGGCGUGCCUAAUACAUGCAAGUAGAACGCACAGUUUAUACCGUAGCUUGCUACACCAUAGACUGUGAGUUGCGAACGGGUGAGUAACGCGUAGGUAACCUGCCUGGUAGCGGGGGAUAACUAUUGGAAACGAUAGCUAAUACCGCAUAAUAUUAAUUAUUGCAUGAUAAUUAAUUGAAAGGUGCAAUUGCACCACUACCAGAUGGACCUGCGUUGUAUUAGCUAGUAGGUGAGGUAACGGCUCACCUAGGCGACGAUACAUAGCCGACCUGAGAGGGUGAUCGGCCACACUGGGACUGAGACACGGCCCAGACUCCUACGGGAGGCAGCAGUAGGGAAUCUUCGGCAAUGGACGAAAGUCUGACCGAGCAACGCCGCGUGAGUGAAGAAGGUUUUCGGAUCGUAAAGCUCUGUUGUAAGAGAAGAACGGGUGUGAGAGUGGAAAGUUCACACUGUGACGGUAUCUUACCAGAAAGGGACGGCUAACUACGUG